GUGGCGCACGGGUGCGUAACGCGUAUGCAACCUACCUUAAUCAGGAGGAUAGCCCGAAGAAAUUCGGAUUAACACCGCAUAAAAACACAGCAUUCAAAUAUUAGGAUUGAGAUGGGCAUGCGUGUCAUUAGCUAGUUGGCGGGGUAACGGCCACCAAGGCGACGAUGACUAGGGGAUCUGAGAGGAUGACCCCCCACACUGGUACUGAGACACGGACCAGACUCCUACGGGAGGCAGCAGUAAGGAAUAUUGGUCAAUGGAGGGAACUCUGAACCAGCCAUGCCGCGUGCAGGAAGACAGCCCUCGGGUCGUAAACUGCUUUUAUUCGGGAAUAAUGAAUGUACCGAAGGAAUAAGGAUCGGCUAACUCCGUGCCAGCAGCCGCGGUAAUACGGAGGAUCCAAGCGUUAUCCGGAUUUAUUGGGUUUAAAGGGUGCGUAGGCGGCUUAUUAAGUCAGGGGUGAAAGACGGUGGCUCAACCAUCGCAGUGCCCUUGAUAC
rnacentral:rRNA from 1 species